AUCUCUUCUUGCAAAAAUGUCUGUUAUACAAAGAUGUCUAUUAUACAAAUCAUGAUUGACAACUGUGAAGAUAUAUUUGGUGAUGAUGGCCGUAUCAUUUGUAAUGAUAAUAAGAAGAGGUCAGAUGACAUAAAGACUUCACUAAAUUCUGCUGGAAAAAAUGAAGCAACUCCAACAUGCAAAUUUCUACAACAGGAACUUCCUCAUGACUAAAGAAGGUGUCAGUCAUUCUAUUUCCAUGUUCCCUUCUACCUCCCACUUAACCAGAGCAGAAGGAACUACUAAAAGAAACAACUUCUGUUUUACAUUUAACC
rnacentral:lncRNA from 1 species